rnacentral:lncRNA from 1 species
GGAACGAAAUUGUAAAAAGAUAGAGUACCAAACAAUGUCGCAUCUAAAAAACGAAUAGAGUAAUCAUGCGCUCGCACAACGAAGUCAAAAAUCACAAAAGAAGUAUCAUAUGUAUGUGUAGAAAUUACUUUUGAGAUAAAAUGAGACAAAAAGUGACCCUAAGGGUGAUUCCGAGCUAAAACAAUGGUUUAAAACCAUCCAUAUUCGGUGAAUGAAAAAUGCAUAAAAUUGAAAUUAUAGAAGUAUAUGCUUCCAAGUUUGGUGUUGCUGAAAACAAAGAAGAUUGUGUAGGAUUUUACUAUAUCUUUAUCCUUGAUUGCACACUCUUGUUCUCUUACAAGAAUCAAUCAGACAGAGAUAAUUUCAUACAACCCAACAACAACAAGCAAUAGCAUAUACUAGAGUAAACUCUGCUUUUGUAUCCUUGUUUUGCUACUUGGAGGGUUUAAAAAAGAUUCAUCAAAUUGCACAC